ACAGAGUUGAAACAUCGGAUUCCAUAUGAUCACGGAAGUUAAGAAACGUCAAGCCUGGCCAGUACUUAGAUGGGCGACAUCUUGCGAAUAUU